rnacentral:lncRNA from 1 species
AUGUGCGGCCCCGAGCCUCUGGUAGGCACACCGCCGGCUCGGUGGGCUGGAGAACUUUGCGAAGCGCCCCAAACUGCUCCUUGCUUCCACUCUCAGCCAUUUCUCUCGUUCUCCCCUCACAACGAGCCAGGGGACCGAGCAAGCCGUCGCCACCUGCCGCCGGAUCCCGGGGCGCUGCCUGUGGCACCCCCGAGGGAAGGCAGGCCAAUGGAAAGAGGGCAGAGGUUCACACCCCCACCCCCAAGCCUCACGUCUCCGAGCUGCCCGGAGGUGGCUGCACAGCCGGAGGGAACCGACGCCCCCGGGCCGGCUGCCUGCUCCCCCGCGGCGCCGGCCCCACCCCCAAUCCUUCCGGCGCCCCAGCGCCCACCCACCCGGGCGCAGGAGUGGGAGGGUGCCGCGUGGGCAGCGGGAGCAACAGGCGUGGGAGCAGCGCUCCUCACACUUCCUGGCUCCAGAAGGCUCGGUCGCGUCCCUCUUACCUUCGGCGAAGCGAGCCCCGGGCCCCGCGCCCCGCGCCCGCGCGCGCGAGGAAGCUGCGGCCGGGAGCCGGGGGCCGCGGAGGCGCGGAGCGCCCAGCAGCGCGGCGAAGCGCCCAGCAGCCGCCGCUCGCCGGCGAAGUCUCGCUCGCUCUCUCCCUGGCUCGGUCCGUUCGUGCGUCCCUCGGUCCUUGGGGCCCUCCCUCCCCCGCCGCCGCCGCCGCUCCAGCCCCGGCUCGGCGGCGCGUCCCCUCCCCGCUUCGCCGCCCCGCUCGCGGGCUCGCGGGCUCGCGGGCUCCCUCGCUCGCGCCCUGCCCCCGCCGCUGCCGGCGCCGCGCGGAGCGGAGCCCGGCGGGCCACGGGCUGCCUGGCGAGGUCCCUCUCCCGAAGGGGGAGGCGUUGGGGGCGCGGCGCGGGCGGGGCGGAGAGGAGAGUCCGGGGGCGGCGGCGAGGCUGCGCCCUCCGCUCCCUGCCGAUCCCCCGCGGCCGAGCGGCUCCAGGCCCGGCCGGAGAGCGCGGGCCGCCAGGCAGCGGAGGAAGAGAGGAGGAGGACCUGGAGGCUCGCCGAGGGAGGGUGCCCGGGGCGAGGGCGUGUGACUCCCCGCGCGAGGGUGUGUGUGAGUGCGUGUGUGUGUGUGUGUGUGUGUGUAUAGAGAGGGGCGCGCGCGCGAGCGGGGGGCGGGGAGACGAGGCAGAGCCUGGUGCGUCUCCCCGAGCGAGUGGAGGAAUCCUAGGGUGUGCCUGGAGGUGGCGGAGUGUACCAGCGCGGGUGGAAGCGCGUGUGCCGGCGAGGGUGGGCACGGGGGUGAGCGUGGCAAGGUGA